AACGAACGCUGGCGGCAGGCCUAACACGUGCAAGUCGAACGCUCGUAGCAAUACGGGAGUGGCAGACGGGUGAGUAACACGUGGGAACCUUCCCUAUGGUUCGGAAUAGCUCAGGGAAACUUGGGGUAAUACCGGAUAAGCCCUUCGGGGAAGAUUAUCGCCAUUGGAUGGGCCCGCGUCGGAUUAGCUAGUUGGUGAGGUAACGGCUCACCAAGGCAACGAUCCGUAGCUGGUCUGAGAGGANGAUCAGCCACGCUGGGACUGAGACACGGCCCAGACUCCUACGGGAGGCAGCAGUGGGGAAUAUUGGACAAUGGGCGGCAAGCCUGAUCCAGCCAUGCCGCGUGAGUGACGAAGGUCUUC
rnacentral:rRNA from 1 species